UCUCUCUUUCUUCCACACCUGUAGCUGGUUAAGACCUAUGAGGAGAGCAUCAUUUCCUCCCUUGUUUUAGUUUGUUCAAGCAAAGGCAAAAAUAUACAAGCUCCUUCCUGCGAAUUUGUCAGGAGAGAUCCGAGCUUUUCCCUCUUCUGAGGCAGUAAAUAGCACCAUCUUGUGUACUGUGUCCUGACACAGCCUGGCCGUCAAAUGGGCUCCUACAGGAAGAGAGGAUUGUGUGACUAGGGAGCUGCUAUCACACAGCCCCUCGAGGAAGCCCUUUCUGUACCUUCUGAUCAGAAAAACAGAACAGCAUCCUUCAG